AGGUGCCCGUACCGCAAACCGACACAGGUAGGUAGGAAGAAGAUUCUAAGGCCAACGGGAGAAGGGUUGUUAAGGAACUCGGCAAAUUGACCCCGUAACUUCGGGAGAAGGGGUGCUCCAGAGAUGGAGCCGCAGAGAAUCGGCCCAAGCAACUGUUUACCAAAAACACAGGUUUGUGCUAAAUCGAAAGAUGACGUAUACGAGCUGACGCCUGCCCGGUGCUGGAAGGUUAAGAGGAGAUGUGCAAGCAUUGAAUCGAAGCCCCAGUGAACGGCGGCCGUAACUAUAACGGUCCUAAGGUAGCGAAAUUCCUUGUCAGGUAAGUUCUGACCCGCAUGAAAGGCGUAAUGAUUUGGGCACUGUCUCAACAGCCCGCCCGGCGAAAUUGUAGUACCGGUGAAGAUGCCGGUUACCCGCGACAAGACGGAAAGACCCCAUGGAGCUUUACUGUAGCCUAAUAUUGGGUUUCGAUGUUGCAUGCACAGGAUAGAUGGGACUCUGGGAAGUGAUCGCUUUGGCGGUCAUGGAGAGGACGUUGGGAUACCAUCCUUGCGAUAUUGGAAUUCUAACCUGCGGCUCUGAAUCGAGUCGGGGGACAUUGUUAGGUGGGCAGUUUGACUGGGGCGGUCGCCUCCUAAAGAGUAACGGAGGCGUUCAAAGGUUCGCUCAGCUUGAACGGAAAUCAAGCAAAAGAGUGCAAACGCAGAAGCGAGCCUAACUGCGAGACUGACGGGUCGAGCAGUAACGAAAGUUGGAGUUAGUGAUCCGGUGGUAUGUGAGUGGAAAUGCCAUCGCUCAACGGAUAAAAGUUACCCUGGGGAUAACAGGCUGAUCUCCCCCAAGAGUCCACAUCGACGGGGAGGUUUGGCACCUCGAUGUCGGCUCAUCGCAUCCUGGGGCUGUAUUCGGUCCCAAGGGUUUGGCUGUUCGCCAAUUAAAGCGGUACGCGAGCUGGGUUCAGAACGUCGUGAGACAGUUCGGUCCCUAUCUGUCGUGGGCGCAGGAUAUUUGA
rnacentral:rRNA from 1 species